rnacentral:lncRNA from 1 species
GAUAAGCUGAAUAACAGAUGCCUCCAGGCGUAUACAACCACCUUAGUUUCUUGACUUGAACUAGUCCUGUUUAACAGGUCAAAUUGCUAGUCUUUCUAAGUAAACUAAAAAAGACUCAAGUAUACAGCUGUACAUACAUAUCAUCAGAUGGUAAAUUCAUUUCAACAAGAACCUCUAUAACUAACUGUACAUUUGUACGGUUUUCUGCUAUCAUUGCAAAAGCCCCUCUGAACAAAGUUACAGUUUAGAAUUUAAAACAAUCCUGAUGAGACAAAACGUACCAGGUGGCUUUUCUGUAGCAGAAAUUAAUUACAACCAUUUUACUCAAGCAAUUUUAAAGACAGGCAAAGUUGAAAAUAAAUAUGCAAGCAUACAGUAAACAAAAUGUCUAUACUGAGAAAUUCAGACACAAAGCACAGUGGAGUCUAUAACUGUAGAAGUUAGAAAUACAAACUAGCAAUGAAGCAACAAUCUCUUCCAAAUAGCAGGAAACAAGUUCUCCAAUACCAUUAUUUAAAUAAUUAUUUAGUGUUCACCUAUUGGAGUUUUUUUUAAUCCCGUUUGCUGAUUAUGACAUUUGACCAGAAUCCCAAGAAAUACCUUAAAUCAUACUGCAUGAAAUAAAUGACCAUUUAAUUCCUGAUUAGUUGAACUCCUUAAUGACUUUUCAGUUUUGUAUAUAAUAGAAAGGUUCAAGAACCUUUGUAAAUUUGCUUACAAUUGCUGCUGGUAUUUAUGAAAGCUUUUAAAAGUUAUGUUAUAUUCUUCUGCAUUUGUUGAUUCCACAUUAACGUAAUUCUCAAGUAUUUUAUAAACAAGCCUUGGGUGUUAGAAUGGUCUGUUUCAAAUUUUCAGGCAUGCUAUUUUGACUUACUUACUGCAAGGUAUCACCCCCCUUCCUCCCCUCCACUAUAAAAAAAAAAAAAAAAAAAGUUGGCAGAAUGGAGACAAAUUUCCAGAUUUAAGUAAAAAGAAAUUUAAGAUUUUCCCAGACUUGGAUUAUAAUCCUUGGUGGACAGGAAUACCAAGUAUAUAUGCCAAUUGUUAAAUGUUUUAUGAAAUUAAACAUGAAACAAAAAGAAAAUGAAUUCCGGCUAAAUCAUACUAAGAAGGAAUGAGACAUGAGACAUAUUAAUAAGAUAUGACACAUUUAUCAUCCAUAAUCAAACACUUCAAAUCCCUGACUGAAAUUGGCUUGAAAAAUGAUACAAACUCUACGGCUGCUUUAAAGGACUGUAAGAUAACAUGUUUUUAAAGCCUAUAUAAAUCACUGAAGCACUUUUAUAUAUUUUAUAUUCAAAACUAAUCUAUGGAGCUCAUUCCAUUCCAUUUAAAAUAGUAAGUCCUCACAUACUUGUGGUUACUUUUACAGUGUUUUUAAAAAAGGAGUACUGCUAAUAAUUUAAGACAUCCUAAAGACAGAAUAGGUGUGAAGGCUUCUUUUUAUAUUUGGGGUGUUUUAGGUAAUUUUUAAGAACUUAAAAUUAUUAUUUGUUCCUCCUUAAUAUGAAACUCUUCCAAAAUACCUUCUAACCAGUAAGUAAAUGUUCCGUAGGCACUGUGAGGUGUAUUAAUGAUGAAGCAUGAACCCAGGCUGAGAAGUGUACAAUUUGAUUUUAACUACUGCCAAAAGAGUUAACAAGCACUGUCUUAUCCACUGACAGCAGGAAAUGUCUUUACCCCACUACUCCUGAGAUUCUAAAGAGGGAAAACUAAUUUCACAAACAAACUUUAAAAGAAUCCAUAGAUGAUUCUAAGAACAGCACAUAUUCAGGGUAUUAGAAAAGAUGUUUUCUUUUGUAAGGCAUAACAAAAGAUGGUUAACAUUAUCAUAAAACCAUUAAUCUUUUCUUUUUAAACUUCUCUAAUUCCUGCUAAUUUUGCCAGCUUAAAUAACAAAUGAAUGUCUCUUGGCCUAAUCAACUAUGGUUAUAAAAAACUAAGACAUCUGAAACUAUUAGGCACAUCAAAGGUACGGCUUAUGUAAUUCAAGGUUCCCUUCUUAAGGGGCAGGUGAGUUACCUGGCACAUUAUACAUAUGGAACUGUGAAGAUCAUCUACUAAAUUCAACUUUCACAUUUUUAGUCAAACUGAAAGACUUAUAGUAAAUAUUCAAACAUACCAUAUCUUCAGUUACAACCGAGUAAGUGUAACAUUUUACCAGAUAAAAAGCUGGAACUUAAGUAUGAGAAACCUUCAUAUACUGUGCUCGU